UCCCUACGUGUGUUUUUCAUUUACUCCGAUCCAUCUCUGGCUGUUGAUUUCUCCUUCCUGUAGGAAGGCUGUCUGAUCGACGUAUUAGCUGUUGGUCACACGCAUCUGGCCCGAAAACAGCAGGCAUCUGAAACUGCUUGGACCUGCUGGAGUCCACCUGGUCGAUCCACGGAUGCUGUAAACUGGUUGCUGACCAAAGAGUGGGAGAACUCCAGGAUUCCUCCCCAGAAAAGAGUGCCU
rnacentral:lncRNA from 1 species